rnacentral:rRNA from 1 species
GACGAACGCUGGCGGCGUGCUUAACACAUGCAAGUCGAACGGAAAGGCCCUGCUUUUGUGGGGUGCUCGAGUGGCGAACGGGUGAGUAACACGUGAGUAACCUGCCCUUGACUUUGGGAUAACUUCAGGAAACUGGGGCUAAUACCGGAUAGGAGCUCCUGCUGCAUGGUGGGGGUUGGAAAGUUUCGGCGGUUGGGGAUGGACUCGCGGCUUAUCAGCUUGUUGGUGGGGUAGUGGCGUACCAAGGCUUUGACGGGUAGCCGGCCUGAGAGGGUGACCGGCCACAUUGGGACUGAGAUGCGGCCCAGACUCCUACGGGAGGCAGCAGUGGGGAAUAUUGCACAAUGGGCGGAAGCCUGAUGCAGCAACGCCGCGUGCGGGAUGACGGCCUUCGGGUUGUAAACCGCUUUCGCCUGUGACGAAGCGUGAGUGACGGUAAUGGGUAAAGAAGCACCGGCUAACUACGUG